AAAUAAAUAAAAGUUCGAAUGUGUAAGUGAUUAUAGACUAAGCAAGUACAUAUUCUUUAAAAAGCGGAUAUUAUCUAAGUUAUGUCUUAAACAUAUGUGUAUAUAUAUAUAUCUAUACAAAUAUGAUUGUAUGCAAGAAUGGUUAAAGGGACGAAUGAGUCAUGUGGGUCAAAUGGUAAUCGCCAUUUAAACCUUGUACUUAAUGUUUAUUUUGACAAGUUUUAUGCUUAUAGAUAAGUGUAACGAAUGGGCAUGCAUUGUCACAAUUGGAAAGAAAUAACCAUUGUAAGUUAUGGAUAACGAGUCAAAAGGUUUUGAUUCGUGCAAGGUAUGUACCUAGGUUAUGUUUUCUUUUAAGUAGGGGCUUAUAGCUCGAUUAGAGAAGGAUAAGUCAGAAAUGGGUAGUUGGUGGACAUAUGGUCAGAAUGUAUUUUACAAUUGGAUUCUGAACAGUUAAAUGAAGCAAGUGAUAGUUAUUAAGCAAGUAAUAGUAAAAUUAGCAUGAAGUAUUUGAUUUACUAUGUAGGUAAAACUGAUGUAAGCUAUUGUAGUAGCAAGAAACCUUAGUUGAAAGAAAUAAGCUGUGAGCAAGUUACAUGAAAGGUAUCUUACUAAAUUACUCUUGUGGGUCAAAAUGAAUGACGGGCUACGACCCGAACAAUAACUUAAGUAUGGACGGGAAGGGUAAGUUUUGCAAGAAGAACGGAAAGGAUGUAUUAAAGUACUUGUAUGUAAGCAAGAAUGGAAAGAAAUAUAGUCGUGUACUUCAUUACAUCCAUGAUAAUUAAGAAACGUCAGUUUGACCUUGGAAAAUCAACUGUAAUGGGUCGGUGAAAUAAUUAAAAAAAAACGAAGGAAUUGUGGGUGUUUAAAACAUUAAACAGAAUAAAUUGGAAAGAAUGUAAUAAUGAUAAGUACCAACGAAAAAUGCUAACCUUGAUGCUAGGUUUGUUGGCCAUGUUCAUUUAAACAAGAUAUUGUUAGAAGGAAGCCCAUGAGCGGAGGCCAUUCAUGAAAGGAAGGGAUCGAACCGGCCUUGACACGGACUCAUUCAGAAGCGGGCCAAUCCGGUUUGCAGAUCGUUAAGUUAUACAAUGAAGGCGAGGUUAGUAAAAUGUUUAAUUCUAGAUUGAAAGGUAAGAAUAUGUGAAUUAUUUGUACACACGAAUGAAAUGAAUGGUAGGACAAAUAUGGUAUAGUAUGAAAUAACCGACUAGCAAUGGUCAUCUUUAGAAAGUAUUUAUGUCAAUAAGAGGAAGAUUUAAGGACCCUGAAUGAAAACUUGGAACUAGUUGAUUAAUGCUCAUAUGUUGCUCUUUGCACGAUUAAAUAUAAGGUUAGACAUAAGGAAGUAAUGUGAAAGAUUAAAUAUAAGGUUAGACAUAAGGUUGUAAGUAGUUCAAGUGGUGGUAGAAAUGUAGAUUAAUGAUUGAUCCUCAUGACAAGUACGGAUAAUGAGAUAUAAAAAUGAUAGUUAUGUUAGAAUGUUGAUACUUGGAUGUUUACGGUAAUGCGUACUAUUAUACGCACACUUCACAUAGGGACAUGAAAGAACCUAGAAAGGAUUUUAGUUUCAAAUUAUGGAAUAUGGGAUGUGUCACAAACGUCAAUUCCUCACAACAUACUUAUGUAAGUCAUCCAAUGUAACCUGAAUGAAUGAACGAACGAAGAGUAAGACUAGACGGGUUAUAGAAGAAAUGAAAGAGGUUUCGAGGACGAAACCUUCUUUAAGGGGGGUAGAUUUGUAACACCCCAAAAACUCGAAUUAUUCAGUUACUAGUAUAUACCACGUUUAAAAUAAGGAAAUGAAAUAACUAGGUUAUUAAACCUAGUUAUAUGCUUGGUUAAAACAAAUAAGGAUAGGAAAUUAAGUUAAUUAUGAACAAAUAACAAACUUGAGGGGUUGAUUUGGAAAAGAUGGAAAGAUGAAAUAUAAAAUAUAAAAUAAAAAUAAAAACAAAAACUCAAAAACACACACUGAGUGUGUUUGGGGGUGCGUACGAUUGCACAGGAGGAGAGGCAGAAAGGGGCACAAACCCUAAUUCAAGAUAAACCUUCAAAUUGAAAGGGGAAACUGGCUCUAAUCGGAUGCAUGGACCUAGAUUCUUAAUCAUCUAGACUUUCUACACAUGAGCUCGACUAUUGACAAGCUAUAUGGGAUCUUGGAGAAGAAUGGGUUAAACGGGUCAAGUACGCAAAGAAGCUUUAAUGGACACAAAUCACUUGUUCAUAGGAACGAAUAGCAAUUUGGAUAAUUGUGUCGCCAUAAAGUUUCGGCUAAUAAAGCGAGGUAUAAAAACGGGUCUAUGCGUUGACUCGAGCCAGGUACGCGACGAAACGUUUUGUUGUUGUUAAUUGUUAAUACGUAAAUCUUAUAUAUUGAUGAUAUAUGAAAGUUUGAGAUGUAAAAAUGUUUGAUUUGUCUAUAAUAAGGAUUUAUGAUAGACAAAUCAACGGGUUGAGCAAUAAUAGGUGCAAACCGGGUAAAUGGGUGCACAAUUCCAUAAGUGCUAAGCCCGGGGUUACGGGUAAAGAAACAUUAAACACACAAGCCGGUAGUCGAAGCGAGAAUGCGAGUAGAUUAAAGGAUUUGGGGACGGGUUGUCAAAUUGAGUAUUAAGUCCCAUGCAUAGGAAUGUGAUUGAAAUAGGAUUUAUUGCUUAUUAGCGAACUAACCUCGUGUAUGUGUUUAUACAGUUUAAAUCAAUUGAAGUAAUAAGUUACUAAACCAUUGUCUUGAGUAUGAAAUGAGAAUGCAGGUAUUCUUUUAACGUCGUUAUCAGGGUUAAAGAAUUUGGAAUGCACGAAUGUACACGGAAAGCUUAUUCGUGGGGAUUAGUAUGGGAAGAAGGAACGCGGACUGGCUAUUGAUUACGUAGGUCUAGUUUAGGAAUGAUGUCAUUCUAUCUAACCGAUGUAUAUGUAUGUGGUGAAUGCAGGUGGCGUGGACUUAGCAUCAUUACGAAGAAAAGAAGGUUUGAAGAUCGAGUCAAGAGCGAGGGUUGUACGGGAAAGAUCAGUCAUAUAAUUUGAUAAAAAAAAUACAGGUCUUGAAGUAUUAAUAUAAUGGGAAGUGGUAAAUUCCUUUUUAAUGAGUGUAUGAAUUUUUGUCUUGGAACCUUCCUGUAAGUAUUAUGUCUAGUAAAGAACGAAAUUUUUAGGCUCUUA